rnacentral:ncRNA from 1 species
GUUCCGGGAAGAGUUUUCUUUUCUUUGUAAGGGCGGUUACCACCCCUGGAAUCGGGUUGUCCGGAGGUAGGGGUGUCACCUCCGUAAAGCACCACCCCUCUUGUGGUGUCCUGUUAGCUCUUGUGGGCCCUCGAAAAUCCGAGGGAGGCGAGGUUACUUUCGUGGCAGGCCGUACCCAUAUCCGCAUCAGGUCUCCGAGGUGAAGAGCCUCUGGCACUAGAAUAAUGUAGGUAAGGGAAGUCGGCAAAUUGGAUCCGUAACGUCGGGAAGAGGAUUGGCUCUGAGGGCUGAGUCAGGCAGGUUGGAGAAAGAAACGGGCUCGCUCAGCUUGCGGCUGGCCAGUGGGCUGGUCGGUUGGUCGGUCGGUCGGUCAGUGGGUCGGUCGGGUUGCUAGCCAGUCGAUUGUGCGCGCGUUGCGUGCGGUUGGCUGGUUGGUUGGCCGGCCGGCUGGCUGACUGACUGGCCGGGCCUGGUGGCUGGAGGUGAGCCGAGUGGAUCGUGGGCGGAUCCAGCUACACGUGCGCCUCGGUGGGUUGGCGAGCAGGUGGGUGGAUGUUCAGUUGGUUGGUUGGCUGGUUGGCUGCCUGCUGACUGGCCGCCCUGCUUGCCUACCAGCUUGUCCAUUCGCCCGCCCUGCCUUGUGCUUCUAUCGUCGAGGAGUGCUUGUCUGGCGCCAAAUAGCCAACUCAGAACUGGCACGGACCUGGGGAAUCCGACUGUCCAAUUAAAACAAAGCAUUGCGAUG